AAGUGGAGCAAUCCCUGAGUAAAGUGGCGACCGGGUGAGUAACACGUGACUAACCUACCUUUCAGUGGGGAAUAACCUCGGGAAACCGGGGCUAAUACCGCAUAAUGUCUUCGGACCAAAGGAGCAAUUCGCUGGAAGAGGGGGUCGCGGCCGAUUAGCUAGUUGGCGGGGUAACGGCCCACCAAGGCAAUGAUCGGUAGCCGGCCUGAGAGGGCGCACGGCCACACUGGAACUGAAACACGGUCCAGACUCCUACGGGAGGCAGCAGUGGGGAAUUUUGCGCAAUGGGGGAAACCCUGACGCAGCAACGCCGCGUGGAGGAUGAAGCCCCUUGGG
rnacentral:rRNA from 1 species